GACUGACCGACGAAAUUAAAAAAACUCUUGGCUUGGGUCAGCUCCUCUGCUUUUGUUUCCGUCGUCUUCUUUCUUUCUUCUCAGAUCCAAUAACCCUAAAUCUAAAAGCCUUCACCGUUGUCAAUUGAGAUUUUCCAAUUAAUGGACAUGUGUGUCUGUUAAUUGGAAAGCGCCUGUGAAGGAAAGCGUCUGAAAUUUAUGCAUUUUACUUCAGUCGGCAGUCGCUACUCAGGGGCAAAUUCGUGCGGCUUGUUGAGUAAGAGAGACCACCUUCAGUGGCAGCUGGUGAAUUAGUUCAGUUGAGGGCCUUGAGGCAAAGACACACAGUUUCUGGUUUGAGGACAGUGGAAGGUACCAAUUCACAAUCCACACCAGCAAAUGAAGGAUCGGCAUCAAAGUCAACUUGUUACCUUAUUUGGAUGGCUAUUUGUUAAGGAUUAAUCAUGUAUGGGAUUUCUAUUUUAUAAAUUUUGUGAAUUUGGAUGAAUUUGGUGAAUUGUUUGAUGAAUUGGAUAUAAAUUUAGAUGAUUGGGUUCUUUGGUUAUAUUUUGUAAAUUUGAU